GACGAACGCUGGCGGCGUGCUUAACACAUGCAAGUCGAACGGUGAAGGGACCAGCUUGCUGGUUCUGGAUGAGUGGCGAACGGGUGAGUAACACGUGAGUAACCUGCCCCCUUCUUCUGGAUAACCGCAUGAAAGUGUGGCUAAUACGGGAUAUUCUGGGUCUGUCGCCUGGCGGGCCCGGGAAAGAUAUUGCUUCGGUGGGGGAUGGGCUCGCGGCCUAUCAGCUUGUUGGUGGGGUGAUGGCCUACCAAGGCGGUGACGGGUAGCCGGCCUGAGAGGGUGGACGGUCACACUGGGACUGAGACACGGCCCAGACUCCUACGGGAGGCAGCAGUGGGGAAUAUUGCACAAUGGGCGCAAGCCUGAUGCAGCGACGCCGCGUGAGGGAUGGAGGCCUUCGGGUUGUAAACCUCUUUCGCCAGUGAAGCAGGCCUGCUCCUUGUGGGUGGGUUGACGGUAGCUGGAUAAGAAGCGCCGGCUAACUACGUG
rnacentral:rRNA from 1 species